GUUUAUUUAAGUUAUUACAUUUUUAGAUGAAAUACUUACAUAUUAGACCGACCGAGGGUUUGAUUCUGGAUGCCAACAGUGAGCCCCCACCUCAGCCGUAAGCAGUCAAACCGGCACAUCGGAUUGAGGUUAUGUUUGGAGAUUGGGAGCUGGAGUGUAUCAUAAAGUUAAUCUAAAGGCGGAACAACUAAAUAAAUGUUUUUGAACACC